rnacentral:misc_RNA from 1 species
CAUGGCUUAAACCAUGAGCAAAUGGAUUGUUAACAAAUAAUUCUGUCUAUUCUUAACUAGUUUGCUUUAUGAAUUUGUGAAAAUUAUUCUUUUUCUCCUUUUUGAUUUGCUAAUUUGCUUUCUUCUUUGCUCCCAAUUAUACGUAAAAAAACAUUGGGUAUUUGCUAUAACUAGAAAAACUUGUUAGAAACAUAAUUGAAUUAUUUCUUGGGUGAUUUUUCAUAUUAAUAAUACAUUUCUUGCAGAUUAAUUGCAAGAUAUUGGAUAAAGAAUCUGUGUUAUUUUUCUUUAAUGCAUAGGAAGCCGCAUUGCAUUUUAGUGUUUUAAGGUUCAGGAACCAUUAUAGUCUAAGGGUCAAAAGGGUUUUCCUGUAAUCAUGUAAGAGCUGGGGUGGCUACAUGAUGUUAAUAAUGAAAGAUUUUUAGAUUUUAGCUGAAAUAUGGCAAGGAACAAUGAUUUUCUUUUGGCCUUUUUUUUUUACCCCUUAUCAUCCCUGCCCUUCUUCCUCUUUUCUUGUCCUCUCUUUAUAUGUGUAUAUACAAUUAUACAUAUAAACACAACACAUGUAGAGCUCUCUCUACAUUUAUGCCUUAAUUUUCUUAGUACUCUCUACCCAUUAAAGAUGCCAUUGAGGGUAAUCGGAUACAGACUAGUCUUUGUCCCAAAGCAGGUGGUAGAAGUUUUGCUGCUGCAUUUUCUGCCUAGAUUACAGUGCUAUUAGGGGGUAAAGGGCUAGACUCCCAAGUACCAACUUGAAGAUGUUGGCCAACAUCUUACCGUCCACAAGUAAUAAUCCAGUGACUAUCACUGGACAUUUAUGACAUGAUGUAACGUGAAAAAGAGAGGGUUUUGACCUUUUAUGCCAGUAGUAAUCUAAUCUAGGAGCUAAAAAGUAAUCCUAUCAAUUCCUGUGUUUUCAUGUCAAUUUGACAAGUUACCAUUAGGAUGAAAAAAAUAGGUUAAUCCUAAAACAAAAUUCUUGGGAUUUUACGCAUUCACGGUCAAAGGAAGUAUUUAAAAUUUAUUUCAUUGCAAUCCCUUCGCUUACCUACCAGUCCAGUGGGAGUCUUCUGGGGCAGUGGAAACGAAAUGGGG